UCAAAAACAACCCAAGGACAAAUAAGAGAUGUUGCACACUAAAAAUAAAAAAUAAAAGUUAUUUGUUAAUAAAAACCUGUGCCAUGGUUUACGGUGAGGACAUUCGUGAUUUAUUUUAUUUUUACAGAUUCUGCCGCCGCGUAUCCUAGCGACGACUUGGGUUGGAUUUAUGCUAGUUAGCAGUUAGCAUAAACUAACAAAACACCGUUUUUUUUUAACUAGCUAUGGUAACAACUAAAAUCACAAUCGAUCAAACGGUUAAAAAGGAGAAAUCUUAACAUAUGUGUUGGCAGUAUUGAUGAAACUAAAGUUACCGAAGAAAAAUCGCCUUAUAUUUGACGCCCUUUAAAUUCUGCACCACCGACAACAUUUAACGAACAAAAAGUUUCAGACCGGGUCGUCCACAUACCGGUAAUAUUAACUAAUCAAAUCGGACAGUGCGUUUCAAUCUAACCUUUCGAUACUUUUAAAAACAAGUCUUUUCGUCAUUUUCUUCCAUGAAAAAAAAAACACACACUACCGCGUAACUACCCGACUAUGAAGCUAACACGUGAAUACAAGCAGGCUAACAUGCUAACAUGCUAACAGGUUAAUACAAGCGGGCUAACAUGCUAACAGGUUAAUACAAGCGGGCUAACAUGCUAACAGGUUAAUACAAGCGGGCUAACAUGCUAACAGGUUAAUACAAGCGGGCUAACAUGCUAACAGGUUAAUACAAGCGGGCUAACAUGCUAACAGGUUAAAGCAAGCGGGCUAACACGUUAAUACAAGCGGGCUAACAUGCUAACAGGUUAAAGCAAGCGGGCUAACAUGCUAACACAUUAAUACAAGCGGGCUAACAGGUUAAUACAAGCGGGCUAACAUGCUAACACAUUAAUACAAGCGGGCUAACAGGUUAAAGCAAGCGGGCUAACAUGCUAACACGUUAAUACAAGCGGGCUAACAUGCUAAUACGUUAAUACAAGCGGGCUAACAUGCUAACCACCAGCGGGCAAACUGAACUACGACAAGCUUUCCCUGAUUGCCCGGUGAGCUGCGUAACA